UACGGAGGGUGCAAGCGUUAUCCGGAUUUACUGGGUUUAAAGGGUGCGUAGGUGGGCAGGUAAGUCAGUGGUGAAAUCUCCGAGCUUAACUCGGAAACUGCCAUUGAUACUAUCUGUCUUGAAUUAUCUGGAGGUGAGCGGAAUAUGUCAUGUAGCGGUGAAAUGCUUAGAUAUGACAUAGAACACCAAUUGCGAAGGCAGCUCACUACGGAUAUAUUGACACUGAGGCACGAAAAGCGUGGGGGAUCAAACAGG
rnacentral:rRNA from 1 species